UGGGGAUGACGUCAAGUCCUCAUGGCCCUUAUAGGUGGGGCUACACACGUCAUACAAUGGAUGGUACAAAGGGUCGCCAACCCGCGAGGGGGAGCCAAUCCCAUAAAGCCAUUCGUAGUCCGGAUCGCAGUCUGCAACUCGACUGCGUGAAGUCGGAAUCGCUAGUAAUCGUGGAUCAGAAUGUCACGGUGAAUACGUUCCCGGGUCUU
rnacentral:rRNA from 1 species